UUAGAUGUCCGGGGCCGCACGCGCGCCACAAUGAAGGGAUCAGCGUGUGCCGUUAUCCUUGUCCGGCAGGACUGGGUAACCCGUUGAAUUUCUCUUCGUGACAGGGACUGGCGUUUGGAAUUCUCCGCCACGAACGGGGAAUUCCCAGUAGGCGCGGGUCAUAAGCUCGCGCCGAUUACGUCCCUGCCCUUUGUGCACACCGCCCGUCGCUGCCUCCGAUCGGAUGGUCUGGUGAGGCCCUCGGACGGGCACGCGGCUCUCGGCCCGCGAGGGCCGGGCCGAUGUGCUCGGAAGACGGCCGAACUUGAUCAUCUAGAGGAGGCAAAAGUCGUAACAAGGUAGUC
rnacentral:rRNA from 1 species